rnacentral:lncRNA from 1 species
ACAGGUGGGACAGGGACGGGUGUGACACUGUCAGGGACACCUGGGACACACCCAGGGACAGGUGGCACACUGUCAGGGACACACCCAAGGACAGGUGGGACACACCUGGGGACAGAUGGGACACGGACGGUUGUGACACUGUCAGGGACACCUAUGACACACCCAAGGACAGGUGGGACACAGGGACAUGGACAGAUGUGACACUCCUGGGGACAGGUGUGACACUGUCAGGGACACCUGGGACACACUCAGGGACAGGUGGGACACAGGGACAUGUGGGACACACCUGGGGACAGAUGGGACACACCCGGGGACAGGUGGGACAUGGGCGGGUGUGACACUGUCAGGGACAGGUGGGACACACUUGGGGACACCUGGGGAGAGGUGGGACACAGGGACACAGACAGGUGUGACACACUUGGGGACAGAUGUGACACUGUCAGGGACACCUGGGACACACCCGGGGACAGGUGGGACAGGUGUGAAACUUGGGGACGAGUGGGACAGGGCCAUGGAAGGUGUGACACUGUCAGGGACACCUGUGACACACUUGGGGACAGGUGGGACACACCUGGGCAGGUGGGACAGGGACAGGUGUGACACUUGGAGACACAGGUGA